UGGGGAAUAUUGGACAAUGGGGGGAACCCUGAUCCAGCGACGCCGCGUGAGUGAAGAAGUAUUUCGGUAUGUAAAGCUCUAUCAGCAGGGAAGAAAAUGACGGUACCUGACUAAGAAGCCCCGGCUAACUACGUGCCAGCAGCCGCGGUAAUACGUAGGGGGCAAGCGUUAUCCGGAUUUACUGGGUGUAAAGGGAGCGCAGACGGUUUUGCAAGUCUGAAGUGAAAGCCCGAGGCUUAACCUCGGAGUUGCUUUGGAAACUGUAUAACUAGAGUAUCGGAGAGGUAAGUGAAUUCCUAGUGUAGCGGUGAAAUGCGUAGAUAUUAGGAGGAACACCGGUGGCGAAGGCGGCUUACUGGACGAAAACUGACGUUGAGGCUCGAAGGCGUGGGGAGCAAACAGG
rnacentral:rRNA from 1 species